GGAAGGAUCAUUAUCGUAUAAUGGGGGUGCAAGGGUUGUCGCUAACCUUUGUAACAAAAGGUUGUGCACGCCUAAGCACAUCCUCUUAUAAUCUCAUCUCACCCCUUUGUGCAUUACCGCGUGGGUGUCCUCUUUUUGGCUUUGUUUCAAAAGGGGGUGCUCGCGUCUUUUUCAUACAAACACCCCUUUAAUGUAUGUGUAAAAGAAUGUGAUUACAUUUUUGCGGUCACACGCAAUCAAUACAACUUUCAACAACGGAUCUCUUGGCUCUCGCAUCGAUGAAGAACGCAGCGAAAUGCGAUACGUAAUGUGAAUUGCAGAAUUCAGUGAAUCAUCGAAUCUUUGAACGCACCUUGCGCCCUUUGGUAUUCCGAGGGGCACACCCGUUUGAGUGUCGUGAACAUUCUCAACCUUUCUUAGUUUUUGUUAAUUAAGAAAGGGUUGGAUCUUGGGGGUUUACUUUGCUGGCAUUCUCUGAAAGCCAGCUCCUCCUAAAUGAAUUAGUAGGGACCAGUUUGCCUGACCCUUGACGUGAUAAGAUGUUUCUAUGUCUCGGGUAUUUUGGCACUAAGUAAUGGAUGGGACCUGCUUCUAAGGGUCUUUAGUUUAAAGACAAU
rnacentral:rRNA from 1 species